rnacentral:rRNA from 1 species
UACGUAGGGGGCGAGCGUUGUCCGGAAUUACUGGGUGUAAAGGGAGCGUAGGCGGGGAUGCAAGUUGGGUGUCAAAACUACCGGCUCAACUGGUAGUCGCACUCAAAACUGCAGCUCUUGAGUGAAGUAGAGGCAGGCGGAAUUCCUAGUGUAGCGGUGAAAUGCGUAGAUAUUAGGAGGAACACCAGUGGCGAAGGCGGCCUGCUGGGCUUUUACUGACGCUGAGGCUCGAAAGUGUGGGGAGCAAACAGG